rnacentral:rRNA from 1 species
UAGGGAAUUUUCCACAAUGGGGGCAACCCUGAUGGAGCAACGCCGCGUGCAGGAUGAAUGCCUUCGGGUUGUAAACUGCUUUUAUCUGUGACGAAUAUGACGGUAGCAGAUGAAUAAGGAUCGGCUAACUCCGUGCCAGCAGCCGCGGUCAUACGGAGGAUCCAAGCGUUAUCCGGAAUUACUGGGCGUAAAGAGUUGCGUAGGUGGCAAAGUGUGUCGGUAGUGAAAGCGUGGGGCUCAACCCCAUAUACAUUAUCGAAACUGCUUAGCUAGAGGACGAGAGAGGUUAUUGGAAUUCCCAGUGUAGGAGUGAAAUCCGUAGAUAUUGGGAGGAACACCGAUGGCGUAGGCAGAUAACUGGCUCGUUCCUGACACUAAGGCACGAAAGCGUGGGUAGCAAACGGGAUUAGAUACCCCCGUAGUCC